rnacentral:piRNA from 1 species
AAUUCUGAACGUAGUCCCAACCCC